rnacentral:rRNA from 1 species
CCUACGGGUGGCAGCAGUGGGGAAUAUUGCGCAAUGGGCGAAAGCCUGACGCAGCGACGCCGCGUGAGGGAUGAAGGUCUUCGGAUCGUAAACCUCUGUCAGCAGGGAAGUACGGUCACUGUGCUAAUCAGCAGUGAAUUGACGGUACCUGCAAAGGAAGCACCGGCUAACUCCGUGCCAGCAGCCGCGGUAAUACGGAGGGUGCGAGCGUUAAUCGGAAUUACUGGGCGUAAAGCGCUCGUAGGCGGUAUGUCAAGUCAAGGGUGAAAUCCCGGCGCUCAACGUGGGAACUGCCUUUGAAACUGGCAAACUGGAGUGUGUGAGAGGAUAGUGGAAUUCGAGGUGUAGGAGUGAAAGCCGUAGAUAUCUGGAGGAACAUCAGUGGCGAAGGCGACUAUCUGGCACAUAACUGACGCUGAGGAGCGAAAGCGUGGGUAGCAAACAGGAUUAGAUACCCUAGUAGUC